rnacentral:rRNA from 1 species
GACGACCUCUGGCGGCGUGCUUAACACAUGCAAGUCGAACGGUAAGGCUCCAGCUUGCUGGGGUACACGAGUGGCGAACGGGUGAGUAACACGUGGGUGACCUGCCCUGCACUUCGGGAUAAGCCUGGGAAACUGGGUCUAAUACCGGAUAGGACCGCACCGUGAGGGUGUGGUGGAAAGUUUUUUCGGUGUGGGAUGGGCCCGCGGCCUAUCAGCUUGUUGGUGGGGUAAUGGCCUACCAAGGCGGCGACGGGUAGCCGGCCUGAGAGGGUGGACGGCCACAUUGGGACUGAGACACGGCCCAGACUCCUACGGGAGGCAGCAGUGGGGAAUAUUGCACAAUGGGCGGAAGCCUGAUGCAGCGACGCCGCGUGGGGGAUGACGGCCUUCGGGUUGUAAACUCCUUUCACCAUCGACGAAGGGUUUCUGACGGUAGAUGGAGAAGAAGCACCGGCUAACUACGUGCCAGCAGCCGCGGUAAUACGUAGGGUGCGAGCGUUGUCCGGAAUUACUGGGCGUAAAGAGCUCGUAGGUGGUUUGUCGCGUCGUCUGUGAAAUUCCGGGGCUUAACUCCGGGCGUGCAGGCGAUACGGGCAUAACUUGAGUACUGUAGGGGAGACUGGAAUUCCUGGUGUAGCGGUGAAAUGCGCAGAUAUCAGGAGGAACACCGGUGGCGAAGGCGGGUCUCUGGGCAGUAACUGACGCUGAGGAGCGAAAGCAUGGGGAGCGAACAGGAUUAGAUACCCUGGUAGUCCAUGCCGUAAACGGUGGGCGCUAGGUGUGGGUUUCCUUCCACGGGAUCCGUGCCGUAGCUAACGCAUUAAGCGCCCCGCCUGGGGAGUACGGCCGCAAGGCUAAAACUCAAAGGAAUUGACGGGGGCCCGCACAAGCGGCGGAGCAUGUGGAUUAAUUCGAUGCAACGCGAAGAACCUUACCUGGGCUUGACAUAUACAGGAUCGCGCCAGAGAUGGUGUUUCCCUUGUGGCUUGUAUACAGGUGGUGCAUGGUUGUCGUCAGCUCGUGUCGUGAGAUGUUGGGUUAAGUCCCGCAACGAGCGCAACCCUUGUCUUAUGUUGCCAGCACGUUGUGGUGGGGACUCGUAAGAAACUGCCGGGGUUAACUCGGAGGAAGGUGGGGAUGACGUCAAAUCAUCAUGCCCCUUAUGUCCAGGGCUUCACACAUGCUACAAUGGUCGGUACAGUGGGUUGCCAGUCCGUGAGGGCGAGCUAAUCCCGCAAAGCCGGUCUCAGUUCGGAUCGGGGUCUGCAACUCGACCCCGUGAAGUCGGAGUCGCUAGUAAUCGCAGAUCAGCAACGCUGCGGUGAAUACGUUCCCGGGCCU